UGUCCGGAGGGUUUGAUCCUGGCUCAGGAUGAACGCUGGCGGCGUGCCUUAUGCAUGCAAGUCGAACGAGCCACUUCGGUGGCUAGUGGCGAACGGGUGAGUAACACGUAAGUAACCUGCCCUUAAGUGGGGGAUAACCUCGGGAAACUGGGGCUAAUACCGCGUGUGGUCCUUUACUGCAAGGUGAAGGACUAAAGCCUUCGGGUGCUUAGGGAGGGGCUUGCGUCUGAUUAGUUAGUUGGUGGGGUAACUGCCUACCAAGGCGAUGAUCGGUAGCUGGUUUGAGAGGACGGUCAGCCACAUUGGGACUGAGACACGGCCCAGACUCCUACGGGAGGCAGCAGCAAGGAAUUUUGUGCAAUGGGCGAAAGCCUGACACAGCAACGCCGCGUGGGGGAUGAAUGCCUUCGGGUUGUAAACCCCUUUUCUCAGGGACGAAUAAUGACGGUACCUGAGGAAUAAGCCUCGGCUAACUACGUGCCAGCAGCCGCGGUAAUACGUAGGAGGCGAGCGUUAUCCGGAUUUACUGGGCGUAAAGGGGGCGCAGGCGGCCUUUCAAGUCGGAUGUAAAAUCUCUCGGCUUAACCGAGAGGGACCAUUCGAUACUGUUGGGCUAGAGAGCAGCAGGGGGAGGUGGAAUUCCCGGUGGGGUGGUGAAAUGCGUAGAUAUCGGGAGGAACACCAGUGGCGAAGGCGGCCUCCUGGGCUGUUUCUGACGCUGAGGCCCAAAAGCGUGGGGAGCGAACAGGAUUAGAUACCCUGGUAGUCCACGCCCU
rnacentral:rRNA from 1 species